AUGAGCUGUUUGCGUUAGUUUAUCAAGCAAGCACAGCAGUGGACAUAGAUUAAUAGAUUGUGAUGCAGAAAAAAAAAGGAAAGUAGGUUAUUCUCUGUAGGGGAGUGGGUCUCUUCCCAGUGACGCCACCACUGCCUCUGGAAACAUUCUCUGCCAGAGCUGGAAAAGAUUCUCCUGCGUCCUUGCUUCGGAUUAGCCAAGCCUGAAGUUUGGAUCCUUCCCCUGGCUACCAGGAGCUGGGAAGUGGACUAUGAAGAAUCUCUCAUCUGCUGCUCGCUCAGCCUGUUUUCAGCAAUAUUAUCAGUCCUACACACCACAUCCAUUAUUUCAUGUGGCUUCUACCCUUUUACUCUGCUGCACAAAAAUAGGGAAAUCUCCUUUUUGUCCUUCAAACCUACCACAUGGUUUGGCUGCUUUUACCUGGUAUACAUUUGAAUCAGGCCCAACUACAAUUGUGGGAGGUGAUAUCUGUUGA
rnacentral:lncRNA from 1 species